AUAGCGGACUUUCUUCCCAAGAACUGCUGGUUAAAAUGCAGAAACUCAUCUGUUCUGCUUCAGUCAUGGGAGGCCAUGAGACCUGGUUCUGGCCUGUUCUUCCCAAGGUACUAGUGAGGGACAAAGUUGGGAGAUUAGCAUGUGCACCACCCUGCCUCUGCGUGGGGUGUUUGUCACCCUUUCCUGUUGCAGUGGCAAUGGUGGUAACCAGCUGGAGCCAGUUAGUUCUGGUCAUUGAUUAUGCUGUCAACAAAGGCUUCAGAAGCCCACCCUAGUCUCAUAAGACACAGGGAGGAGCCUAAGGAGGAGAAGCCAUCAGAGCAUCAGAGGAUGCGAAGCUGUCUUCUGCUUGAGGUGGCUUCAAUAGAGAACCACUGGCAAUCAGCUUAGGCCGGAUGCUACACAAGAGAAUUCAACAACAUCAGCUACAGCAGGAAAAGAAACUCUUCCCAGUAGAAUCUUUCUGGACAACACACCUGAAAAGCUCUCGGACAUUCAGCAAGAUGACUUAGUGUUAGCAUGGUGCUAUGGAACUUUAAUACCAGAAACCUGAGCUGAGGCUGUGUCACAAUCCUGCUGAAGAUUCUGCAAAGAUACUGGCUCCAGGUUCCUAGGAUCAAUCUAGCUUAACUGAAGUCUUCACGGGAAUUCUUCUUUACAUCAACGUAUAGAACUCUCAGCUCCUUCUCCA